CAGUAGCCGCGGGAAUACGUAGGUGGCAAGCGUUGUCCGGAAUUAUUGGGCGUAAAGGGCUCGCAGGCGGUUUCUUAAGUCUGAUGUGAAAGCCCCCGGCUCAACCGGGGAGGGCCAUUGGAAACUGGGAAACUUGAGUGCAGAAGAGGAGAGUGGAAUUCCACGUGUAGCGGUGAAAUGCGUAGAGAUGUGGAGGAGCACCAGUGGCGAAGGCGACUCUCUGGUCUGUAACUGACGCUGAGGAGCGAAAGCGUGGGGAGCGAACAGGAUUAGAUACCCCAGUAGUCCCUGUCUCUUAUAC
rnacentral:rRNA from 1 species